GUAGACUCUCCUCCUUCUUUGAUUAUUUUAUUGCAUUUAUUCUUAUUUUAAAAAAAUAAUUUUUUCUACCUAUUUUUAUUUUAAAAAAGAGAGAGAGAGAGAGACGAAAACGAGAAGAGAAAAGAGGAAAACAAUUCAUAAUUCAAAGGAAUCAAGAACACAAUCAACUCACAUGUUGAAGUUUGAAGCAGCAAUUAGGGUCCUUUGAAUUUCAUAUCAAAUUUCAAAUCUUUUAUACUCCAAAUUUGUUUAUACUUAAAUAUACCCACUUGUCAAACCUGAAAAAGGGCCAGUCUUUUAUGUAUUUAUACAUCAUGAACUUGAAGAAACGAGAAAAAAGCUAAACUUGAUCUCAACUUGUUCAAAGUUGAGAUCAAAACCCAUGAAGAAAACAAGAGAGAGUGAGAGAUGGGGAGACAAAAUAUGGUGNNNN
rnacentral:lncRNA from 1 species